GAUGAACGCUAGCGGCAGGCCUUACACAUGCAAGUCGAACGGCAGCGCGGGGGCAACCUGGCGGCGAGUGGCGAACGGGUGAGUAAUAUAUCGGAACAUACCCUAGAGUGGGGGAUAACGUAGCGAAAGUUACGCUAAUACCGCAUACGCACUAAGGUGGAAAGUGGGGGAUCUUCGGACCUCUCGCUAUCAGAUGAGCCCAUGUCAGAUUAGCUAGUUGGUGGGGUAAAGGCUCACCAAGGCGACGAUCUGUAACUGGUCUGAGAGGAUGAUCAGUCACACUGGAACUGAGACACGGUCCAGACUCCUACGGGAGGCAGCAGUGGGGAAUAUUGGACAAUGGGCGGCAAGCCUGAUCCAGCCAUGCCGCGUGUGUGAGAAGGCCUUAGGGUUGUAAGCACUUUCAGUGGGGAGAAAGGUUAGUUCACCUAAUACGUGAGUAAAUUGAUGUUACCCACAGAAGAAGCACCGGCUAAC
rnacentral:rRNA from 1 species